rnacentral:rRNA from 1 species
UACGUAGGGUGCAAACGUUAUCCGGAUUUAUUGGGCGUAAAGAGCUCGUAGGCGGCUGUGUAAGUUGGAUAUUAAAUACCCAGGCUCAACCUGGGAAAAGUAUCCAAGACUGCACAGCUAGAGUGAUGCAGGGGAGAACGGAACUUACAGUGUAGCGGUGGAAUGCGUAGAUAUUGUAAGGAACGCCAAUGGUGAAGACAGUUCUCUGGGCAUUUUCUGACGCUGAGGAGCGAAAGCGUGGGUAGCGAUCGGGAUUAGAUACCCCGGUAGUCCACGCCCUAAACGAUGCAUACUGGGAAUUCGGAGUAUCGACCCUCUGAGUUCCGAAGCUAACGCGUUAAGUAUGCCGCCUGGGUAGUACGGCCGCAAGGCUAAA